AGGACAAUAGUCCAGCUUGUAUUUAACAAAAGUGCUAGUUUUGCCACUUACAGGAUCAGAUUAAUAUUCUAAGUGUCUGACAACAUUCUGGAAAGGAUUUCUAAGGAGGCUGACCUUUCAGUUAAAGAGUAAAAUCUUUUUUUAAACAUAAAACAUCUGCAAAAUUGUGUUCGCUAAACCCACUAGACACCAUGUAAAAAAAACAGUAAUUUUAGCAUUGUAAAAUACACUUCAUCCAAAGUUGAAACAACAAAAUAAAAACUGCGAAAAUCUGCUUUUUGGGUCGUCUCUCCACUUUAACAACCAUAACAACUCUACAUUUGGUUAAAAUACACACAGUUUAUCAAUUUACAUGUGAAAUAUGUUGGCAUUAUACACGCUAAAAGUAUUGUUUAUUUAUAUGGAGUCUGGUGGGUUUAUCGCUAGCGACGUCAGAGUUGUUUCUGGCUAAACAGAAAGCUCUUAAAAAGGUUUUAAAGGUCUAUCUCUGU